rnacentral:rRNA from 1 species
CCUACGGGAGGCAGCAGUGAGGAAUAUUGGUCAAUGGACGAGAGUCUGAACCAGCCAAGUAGCGUGAAGGAUGACUGCCCUAUGGGUUGUAAACUUCUUUUAUAUGGGAAUAAAACGUUCCACGUGUGGGAUUUUGUAUGUACCAUAUGAAUAAGGAUCGGCUAACUCCGUGCCAGCAGCCGCGGUAAUACGGAGGAUCCGAGCGUUAUCCGGAUUUAUUGGGUUUAAAGGGAGCGUAGGUGGAUUGUUUAGUCAGUUGUGAAAGUUUGCGGCUCAACCGUAAAAUUGCAGUUGAAACUGGCAGUCUUGAGUACAGUAGAGGUGGGCGGAAUUCGUGGUGUAGCGGUGAAAUGCUUAGAUAUCACGAAGAACUCCGAUUGCGAAGGCAGUUCACUGGACUGCAACUGACACUGAGGCUCGAAAGUGUGGGUAUCAAACAGGAUUAGAUACCCCGGUAGUC